rnacentral:rRNA from 1 species
AACGAACGCUGGCGGCAUGCCUAACACAUGCAAGUCGAACGAGACCUUCGGGUCUAGUGGCGCACGGGUGCGUAACGCGUGGGAACCUGCCCUUAGGUUCGGAAUAACUCCCCGAAAGGGGUGCUAAUACCGGAUAAUGUCUUCGGACCAAAGAUUUAUCGCCUUUGGAUGGGCCCGCGUUGGAUUAGCUAGUUGGUAGGGUAAAAGCCUACCAAGGCGACGAUCCAUAGCUGGUCUGAGAGGAUGAUCAGCCACACUGGGACUAAGACACGCCCAGACUCCUACGGGAGGCAGCAGUGGGGAAUAUUGGACAAUGGGCGAAAGCCUGAUCCAGCAAUGCCGCGUGAGUGAUGAAGGCCUUAGGGUUGUAAAGCUCUUUUACCCGGGAUGAUAAUGACAGUACCGGGAGAAUAAGCUCCGGCUAACUCCGUG